AUUAAGACUAAGGUUCGGUAUUCAAUUAAAUUAAAUUGAAUCAUUUUUGUUUCGACCAACUUAUUGGAUCAUAAAUUAUAACAAUCGAUACUAAUAUUAUAUAUAUAAUAUUAGCCUAUUGGUGGUGACUUCGACUGAGAAAAUUUGUCCUGGGUUCGAGGCCCAGUGAAGAAACUUAAGUGGUUGUUGCAUUUACUUGGUUUACCGGCGUUGCCGGUUUACCCGCGUUGCCUAUUACAGACAUGCAUUGCGUAAAUUUGGACUAGGCCGAUGGGUUCAGUUUGUUGAUAUUGUAGUUGUAUAAGAAGUAACGGGUUCGAAUCCUGGAACUUAUUUGAUUAGUACUACCUAAUGGCUCCCCAAGUGCACUGCAAUAUUUAUUAGAUUUUGUUUAGUUUUAUAUUAAUUAUGAUUUCUAAAACAAUUCUUUGAAAUUCUGAUAUUUUUGUGAUUUUUCCUUACAAGGUACUUCUACUCGUAUUUCCAUGUAAACAUGUGUCUUUUUUGACUCUUGUGUAACACAGUUUAUUGAAAAAUAUAUGUUUUUGAUUGUACUUAAUACGAAUAAAGUAAGCGGCUCCAGGUUAGAACCCUGCUAAGAAAACGCAUUUGAUUGUUUUUAACAAAUAACUUAGAAAUAUUUUUUCCAUUUCUCAAUAAAUAGAGAUAACCAAGUUAUGGACAGUUCUAAAGUAAAAUCAAUUUAUUAUUCACAAUUACUUAAAACUUUCCCUUAAUGUGUUUAAAUGUUUUUCUUUUCAUUGGCGAGACGAAGUUUACUACCUCCAGCUCCGUUGCUAGCCAAAUAUCAUUGAAGCGGCGGCGGCGUCACCGGCGUCGUUACUGAAUCGAGAAAUGCCUAGCGCAAGAACGAACACGAACCAUGCCACGCUCACGCCAACACAUACGGUAGAUACACGUAAAAUACAAGCAUUUUCAUGCGUGACUACUGCAAAGAACGUCCUUCGUAGAAGUUCGCACUGCUGAAUGAAGAUAAAAUAUCGUUUAAUAAACUAUAAACUGUACAUAAGAAAAUAAAAUACAGAACAGAGCUAGUUUUGGUAUGUAUACUCUUUCCUAAACUUGUGACUGAUAAUAUUAAGCUUAUCUUAUGUGUAUUCUAAGCAUGUUCUGUAUUGUGUAUUCUAAUGUACAUGAAUUAAUUUUGUGUGGUUAUUGGCCAUAAAUCUACAGAUGGACAUGUCAAAGUGGUUAAGUUAGUGAAGUAAUAGUUGUAAAUUGCAUAAGAUCUUUAUAAAAUAACUUUUAAUAUAAUUAUUUAUUAGGAGGCAGGAUAAGUAGGUUUGAUUUAAGAUGUUGAUUCAAAUCUGAUAAUAUCUAAUAUGUAGUAUAAGAUAAAUGAAGGUCACGACUCGAUCUGUUUCGACAUCUAGGGUUGUCAAGUUUGCGGAUCAUACCGGUACGCCCACAAUGAUCGCAAUUCACCGACGUGCCAGUAAGCGCAGAUAAAUGCAACUGAACAAGUAAGUGAUUUAGACCUAAGUAAGCAUGUUACGGACACAUAUGUAAUAAAGGGGAGGUAUGUAUGUGUCGGGCAAACGGUUUGAAACAGGGGGCAGUCUAAGAGGCAUUAGGCAUCCGAAACGAUGAACUACGCCAUCAGAUUUAGUAAAAAGUUUCUAUGUCCACUAUCAUGUGUGCCCUCUUUUUCGCAUAAAGUUGAUUGUCAUAUACUUCGCAUAAAAGUCAUUAUUUUAAUAUUUCAAUUCGCCUACAACCAGUUUUCCUAAUAUAUUUUUCGCAUAUAUUCUUUAGCCGUAUAUAAGUCGACUGAAGUUUGAUUUUUAUACCUAUUAAAAUUUAGGAUGUACCGAUUAUGCGUA